CCCUGCACCAAUGUCAACAAGAGGUAGAAUUGGUUUAUAUUAGAGCAGCUCAUCAAAUAUUUUAGAGUUUGGAGAAAAAGGGGAGGGAAAUUGACAUUUCAUUAGGCUAAAUCCACUGCGCCACCUCCAGACAAAGUAAAAGUAAAAAAAAAAAUCAUUGAAUUGUAAGAACAGAGACUUGGUUUCCUUCAGAUUUCAAAUGGCAGGGAAAGAUUGGCUUAUUUCAGGCUGGUAUAUCCCAAGAUACAAGCUUGCUUGUCAAACAGGGUGCUUUGGUUGGAAGAAAACAGCAGAAUCUUUCCAAAUGUGAGAAAGACGGUGGAUGAUGUGGCAGAACGCUAUUUUAUAGCUUCGCUUUGGUCUUACUUAAAUAGGACUUUUAUAGUUAUGAUUUUUACAUGAUUCCUACCAAUAGUAGGAACUCUUGUUCUUCUGUUGGUAUUUCCAGCCCAGUGCCUUUCACAUUUUAUUUAUCAAUAAAAUGUUUCUAUUAGCCUUGUCUGAUAA